AUUUACAAGGGAAAAUAGCUCACUUUUGGUACUAUGCUUUGAUCCUAGUAUAGAAGAGAAAAUAAUUUUAAGUAACAAGUCUUUGGAGGGAAAGACAUCUCUAUCUUUUUUUAUGUCAGAUUUUGUUGUCACUUUUGUGUUAGUUGUGCGUCUCACUCUUCAUUGAUAGCUCCACAGCUCUCCUCGCAGAGCGAUUCUUCCUGCACAUCAGUCCGUACCUCUUUUUUUUUAUAUAUAUUUUCAACUGUAUCCUUGUGAGACACUAAAUGACUCUCCACAUCAAACACUACUCUUUCUUCCUACGCCGCAUUU
rnacentral:lncRNA from 1 species